UACGAAGGGGGCUAGCGUUAAUCGGAAUUACUGGGCGUAAAGCGUGCGCAGGCGGUCUGUUAAGACCGAUGUGAAAUCCCCGGGCUUAACCUGGGAACUGCAUUGGUGACUGGCAGGCUUUGAGUGUGGCAGAGGGAGGUAGAAUUCCACGUGUAGCAGUGAAAUGCGUAGAGAUGUGGAGGAAUACCGAUGGCGAAGGCAGCCUCCUGGGCCAACACUGACGCUCAUGCACGAAAGCGUGGGGAGCAAACAGG
rnacentral:rRNA from 1 species